UAUCAAUUCAAUUUCAAUUUUUUAACUAUUGUUUUUAAUAUUUGUAAAUAUAAAUAAAAUUGUAUUUAAUUUAUUUUUACUAUUUAUUGAUCAAAUUGAACUUUUUGCAGAUUCAGUAAUAUAAUAAAAGAUACUGAACUGUUGAAAUAAAGCUUGAACCCUUGUCCAGUAUAAUGUCACUAAACAAUAAUCACGAUAUAUUAGGAUCGUGUAGAUUUACUUAAAAUAAUUUGAUAUUGGUUUAGUUAAAAAGUAAUAUUCUUUUAUUAUAUUACAAUCACGGUAAACCAGCUUUCUAGUCAACAUCAAUUCACGACUUUUCGACAUAUACUCGUACUACUAUUGAAAAACAACAAAGAAAAUUAUAAUAAUUAAUAAUAUACUUAUGGAUUUUCAAAAAAAUCUCACUGCAAAUUUAAUAAUAACUGUGAAUAAUGAAUAUAAAUUGAUGCAAGAGGAGUAACAAAUAGCUUACAAUUUGAAACAUAAUUUUUCGAUAAUUCUAUUGGGGUUACAAAUACAACUACAACGAUGCAUGGAGAAAAAACAAAAUUAAUUGUAUUAUAUGAAUUAAUAUACAAUAACAAUAGAGAUGUUUAAAUCAAACUCAAAUAUUAUUUGUUAAUAUUCUUAUCUUAAAUAUAUAAGACAAGUGAAGAUUGAAAUUUCAAAAUCUCAAGUUCAAAAUAUAAAAUAUAAAUCACCUUCAAGGUUAAAAAUCCAAAAAAAUUAACUACCCCAAGAGAUAAAAGGAUAACGAUCAGACAAAAAAGAACACUCAUCAUAAUAAAAUCAAAAUAUUCUUAACCCUCUCAUUAACUAAAAAUAAUAAUGAAUAUAAAAGUUUAAGUAACCGUGUUUUAUCUUUUAUACUUGCAGUUUUCCAACUAACCAUCAU